rnacentral:rRNA from 1 species
UACGGAGGGUGCGAGCGUUGUCCGGAAUCACUGGGCGUAAAGGGCGCGUAGGCGGCCUGGUAAGUAGGGGGUGAAAUCCUGCGGCUUAACCGCAGGGCUGCCUUCUAAACUGUCAGGCUCGAGCACGGUAGAGGCAGAUGGAAUUCCCGGUGUAGCGGUGGAAUGCGUAGAGAUCGGGAAGAACAUCAGUGGCGAAGGCGGCUUACUGGUCCGGUUCUGACGCUGAGGCGCGAAGGCGUGGGGAGCAAACAGG